GAACGCCUCUAAGUCAGAAUCCGUGCUAGAAACGAUGAUGUUGGUCCCGCACAUAUUAGCUGUGUUAAAAUAGAGCUUUGCUCGUGAACCAAAUCAGACAGACGUGGAUGCUGCAGUGGAAAUCUGUGGUGUCUAGUUUGUGAAUUGUAAUUACCAUAUGGGCGGGGGUGAAUCCUUUGCAGACGACUUGAAUGGGAACGGGGUACUGUAAGCAGUAGAGUAGCCUUGUUGCUACGAUCUGCUGAGGUUAAGCCCUUGUUCCAAAGAUUUGU
rnacentral:rRNA from 1 species